AACCCCUGGCUGUGGGCAAAGAGACACCUGGCUGGUGGUGGUGUUCUUAUGUCAGUCAGGGGCAGAGCAGACUGGCAGCCCUUUGUUUAUCCGAGCUGGAUGCCUAGAUCGUGACCAAAGCAGUUUCACGCCUGGGCACAUAA
ensembl:snoRNA